GGUGAGAAAGUUCUCUGUAAGGUUUUCUUAAAAGCACUUCCAGGUCUGUCACAUACAGAAUAUGGGAAGAAUAAUCGAAGAUGAGUAACUAAAGAGACCAAGAGUGUCUUAUAAAGAGCCGACUCAUUUUAUCCAGGAGCUGAGACCUGCCCAGCCAGCUCUGCAACAGAAGCAUUCAUACACAGCUGAUCGUUGAACAAGGCGGGGGUAAGGGGAGCCAACCCUCCGGUACAGUCGAAAAUCCACGUGCAAGUUAUAAUGGUCCCUCUUUACACAGUUCCUCCAUAUCUGCAGUUCUGCAUCUGUGGACUCAACCAACCACAACGUACCUGGCUGGGCACCCAAGACUGUGAGUGUACGGAUGCCAACAAGCUGAAGCUGGGUACUGGGGUCCGUCAGGGCCAUGAAUACCAGUGAGCACAGCUGGUCCUUGAAGCCACUCAGAGGCCUGUCAUCUAGGAAGAGACAGAGUCCAGCUGCCAUGGCCCCAUUACCCUGUAGAAUGUUGCUAAGGAAGGAGUCAAGGAGGUCCUCAGCAUCA